rnacentral:rRNA from 1 species
GACGAACGCUGGCGGCGUGCUUAACACAUGCAAGUCGAACGGAAAGGCCUGCUUUCCCUUGUGGAUUGCGGGUACUCGAGUGGCGAACGGGUGAGUAACACGUGAGUGAUCUGCCCCCAACUUGGGUAUAAGCCUGGGAAACUGGGUCUAAUUCCCGAUAGGACUGCAGGGUGGUGCCUGUGGUGGAAAACGAUUUUCUAGUGGUUGGGGAUGAGCUCGCGGCCUAUCAGCUUGUUGGUGGGGUAAUGGCCUACCAAGGCGGCGACGGGUAGCCGGCCUGAGAGGGGGGACGGCCACAUUGGGACUGGGAUACGGCCCAGACUCCUACGGGAGGCAGCAGUGGGGAAUAUUGCACAAUGGGCGGAAGCCUGAUGCAGCGACGCAGCGUGGGGGAUGACGGCCUUCGGGUUGUAAACUCCUUUCGACCGCGAGGAAGCCACCUGGUUGGAAGGGUGGUGACGGUAGUGGUAGAAGAAGCACCGGCUAACUACGUG